rnacentral:rRNA from 1 species
GGCAGGCCUAACACAUGCAAGUCGAGCGGUAGAGAGAAGCUUGCUUCUCUUGAGAGCGGCGGACGGGUGAGUAAUACCUAGGAAUCUGCCUGAUAGUGGGGGAUAACGUUCGGAAACGGACGCUAAUACCGCAUACGUCCUACGGGAGAAAGCAGGGGACCUUCGGGCCUUGCGCUAUCAGAUGAGCCUAGGUCGGAUUAGCUAGUUGGUGAGGUAAUGGCUCACCAAGGCUACGAUCCGUAACUGGUCUGAGAGGAUGAUCAGUCACACUGGAACUGAGACACGGUCCAGACUCCUACGGGAGGCAGCAGUGGGGAAUAUUGGACAAUGGGCGAAAGCCUGAUCCAGCCAUGCCGCGUGUGUGAAGAAGGUCUUCGGAUUGUAAAGCACUUUAAGUUGGGAGGAAGGGCAGUUACCUAAUACGUGAUUGUCUUGACGUUACCGACAGAAUAAGCACCGGCUAACUCUGUGCCAGCAGCCGCGGUAAUACAGAGGGUGCAAGCGUUAAUCGGAAUUACUGGGCGUAAAGCGCGCGUAGGUGGUUUGUUAAGUUGAAUGUGAAAUCCCCGGGCUCAACCUGGGAACUGCAUCCAAAACUGGCAAGCUAGAGUAUGGUAGAGGGUAGUGGAAUUUCCUGUGUAGCGGUGAAAUGCGUAGAUAUAGGAAGGAACACCAGUGGCGAAGGCGACUACCUGGACUGAUACUGACACUGAGGUGCGAAAGCGUG